rnacentral:rRNA from 1 species
CCCUUAGAUGUUCUGGGCUGCACGCGCGCUACACUGAUGAAUUCAACGAGCCUAGCCUUGUCCGAAAGGUCCGGGUAAUCUCUGAAACUUCAUCGUGAUGGGGAUAGAUCAUUGCAAUUAUUGAUCUUCAACGAGGAAUUCCUAGUAAGCGCAAGUCAUCAGCUUGCGUUGAUUACGUCCCUGCCCUUUGUACACACCGCCCGUCGCUUGUACCGAUUGGAUGGUCCGGUGAAAUCUUCGGAUAGCUGGUAGUUGGCUUGCCAUCUACUGCUAAAAGUUGCUUAAACCUUAUCAUCUAGAGGAACAAGAAGUCGUAACA